GCAAGUCGAGCGGUAGAGAGAAGCUUGCUUCUCUUGAGAGCGGCGGACGGGUGAGUAAUGCCUAGGAAUCUGCCUGGUAGUGGGGGAUAACGUCCGGAAACGGACGCUAAUACCGCAUACGUCCUACGGGAGAAAGCAGGGGACCUUCGGGCCUUGCGCUAUCAGAUGAGCCUAGGUCGGAUUAGCUAGUUGGUGAGGUAAUGGCUCACCAAGGCGACGAUCCGUAACUGGUCUGAGAGGAUGAUCAGUCACACUGGAACUGAGACACGGUCCAGACUCCUACGGGAGGCAGCAGUGGGGAAUAUUGGACAAUGGGCGAAAGCCUGAUCCAGCCAUGCCGCGUGUGUGAAGAAGGUCUUCGGAUUGUAAAGCACUUUAAGUUGGGAGGAAGGGCAUUAACCUAAUACGUUAGUGUUUUGACGUUACCGACAGAAUAAGCACCGGCUAACUCUGUGCCAGCAGCCGCGGUAAUACAGAGGGUGCAAGCGUUAAUCGGAAUUACUGGGCGUAAAGCGCGCGUAGGUGGUUUGUUAAGUUGGAUGUGAAAGCCCCGGGCUCAACCUGGGAACUGCAUUCAAAACUGACAAGCUAGAGUAUGGUAGAGGGUGGUGGAAUUUCCUGUGUAGCGGUGAAAUGCGUAGAUAUAGGAAGGAACACCAGUGGCGAAGGCGACCACCUGGACUGAUACUGACACUGAGGUGCGAAAGCGU
rnacentral:rRNA from 1 species